rnacentral:tRNA from 1 species
UGUCGGGUCGUCUAAUGGUAGGACAGUGGCCUCUGAAGCCAUUAAUCGGGGUUCGAGUCCCUGCCCGACAGCAA